rnacentral:snRNA from 1 species
CCGUGAAAGCGUGGCCUAUCGAUCCUU